GCCAGUGUGGUAUAGUGGUUUGAGUGUUGGACUAUAACUCUGAAGACCAGGGUUCAAAUCCCCAAUCAGUCA